UGAUUCUUUCUCUCGUAGAUAACUCUUUCCUUUCCCUUUUCAAUCACUUGCUUUUAACACUAUUUGUAGUACCCCCCCACCCUCCUUCUCUUUUCUUUUUCCUUUCUAGCCUUGAUUUAUCUCUCCCCCUCUUCCUCUCCAUUUCAAAACUCACACAUCAUACAUUCCCUUCUUCUCUCGCCUUCUCCCUCUUUUCACUUCACUUCACUCUCACUACGUACCCCUCUCUAUAAGGUAAUGCUCUACUCAUGGUUAAUCGUACUAUUACUAUAUUUGGGCUGCUUGGUUUUGCUUUGUUUACGAGAAAUCAAGCACUUCUUUUAGGUUUUCAAACUGUUUUUGAAAGUUAAUUUCAAGUGUUGACAGGAAUAUAUUCUGUGGGCUACUUGGCUUUUCUUUUCUUCGGGAGAAAUUCAGCAUUGUUUUGGGUUUUGGACAAGAAUUCAUUUUUGGUGGUUUUGAGCUUAAUUAGUUGUUAUAUUUCUCAAAUUGGGUUUUAAAUUGUUUCACAAACGUGAAUUUCAAGUGUCGAAAUGGUUUGUUUCACUGGAGGGUAAAUUACUUGAUUUAGAUGAAUGGCAACCUUGUUUGGUUGCUGAGAAUUAAAGGAAUGAAUUAUGUGGGAUUGGAAGGAUUAUGCUAGUCAAGAUCAUUGGAAGGCAAUUUAACUUUGAAUCAAACCAUAAAUCAUACUUUUUUUCAACCCGAAACCCACCCAAUUUCAAAGCCUCGAGCUGCCUUAGUUAAUUAAACCUAAAAUCCAGUCGGUUUGGACCACAAAUCAUACCCAAAAAGCACAAUCAAAACCUAGUUGAAUCCUUUCCUAAAAAAACUCUGAAGUUGCUAUACAAAAUCAACCCAAAACAUGAGAUGAUCAGAAUAACUUUCCCAUUUUCUUAAAAUGAUCAAUUUUGUUUGGGUCUUGGUUAUUGAUGGUGGCUAAAAUAUCUUCAAUGUAUCUACUUUUUAAAAUCUCAUUUGAUAGAUAGCAUCAAAAGCGCUUCCUAUGUGAGCAUUGCCUUUUGUGCUUAUGCCUUUUUUAUUUUAUCGCUCGAUUUAGCCCCUUUGUCUCUUAACAAGACAGGGUGCAUAAUCAUCCUCCUUCCACUUCGUGAAUCCCAUCAACAUCAAUUAACGACUAGAUGUCGCCAAAGUUUACAACCAGAACACGUUCUUGUCCUUGGGAUCCCUUCGCCAUCCAAUAUUACAUUGUGUGAUCCAGCAUAUUUCAUCAUGAAUCAUGACAUCUAGUCGAGUUUCACCAUGCAUUUUAAGCCCUUGGAUCAAGUUCAAUUUCACCUAUUUAUGAGCCAAGUUCUUCACACCCUCUUCGCAUCUUGAUCCUAUACAAACUUUUCCCUAGUUCUAGCAACUCGAAUCGCUCUGUACAAACUUUUCCUCAGCAGCACUGUAGUUUUGGCCAAGCUACUUAUCAAGAAAUGAGGAGGCAUGACUCCCUUUUUUUUGUUUUUGGUAUUUAAUUUACGCCAUAAUUUAUCUUCGACACUUUGCGUGCAUUUCUUUCAUUGAUUUAUGUUUUUUUUUUUCCUUCUUGGUUUACAACUCUUUUGUUCUCAAGAAACUCUGAGAAAUACCUCGACAUAUGUAGUUCUUUUAUAACAUUUUUCAAGUUCCAUAAAAAAAAAAGUCUUGUUUUCUUGCUUUAUUGCCUAAAAGGUAAAAUCUGGUUGCAAUUUGUGUGAACAAUGCCUUGAUGUUUAGAUUUGUUGCUUGAUCCUAGCAAUGGCGCUGUAUCUUAAAAAAAUCUGCAACAAUAUCUGCGCAUAUGCUUUCGUAUAUACUUUUAU
rnacentral:lncRNA from 1 species